rnacentral:rRNA from 1 species
AACGGGGCGACCUGCCUUCGGGCGGGGGCUCCGGGUGGACACUUCAAACUCUUGCGUAACUUUGCAGUCUGAGUAAACUUAAUUAAUAAAUUAAAACUUUUAACAACGUGAUCUCUUGGUUCUAGGCAUCGAUGAAGAACGCAGCGAAAUGCGAUAAGUAAUGUGAAUUGCAGAAUUCAGUGAAUCAUCGAAUCUUUGAACGCACAUUGCGCCCCCUGGUAUUCCUGGGGGGCAUGCCUGUUCGAGCGUCAUUUCACCACUCAAGCCUCGCUUGGUAUUGGGCAACGCGGUCCGCCGCCUGCCUCAAAUCGACCGGCUGGGUCUUCUGUCCCCUAAGCGUUGUGGAAACUAUUCGCUAAAGGGUGUUCGGGAGGCUACGCCUGUAAAACAACCCCAUUUCUAAGAAUGACCUCGAUCAGUA